CGACUUAUUUCAUCAUGGUUAACUUGUAUAAUUUUAUUUGCUUGUAAUUACUAGUUGUAUAUGCCCUACUCAAUCAUCCCACAACUCGCUCCUAUCUCUCAGACUAAUUCCAAUUUCAAAAUAUAAUAAUCUUACUCAUUCUUCAUCUAUAAUCAAUGAAAAAUAGUUAUCCCUUAUUAUGUUGUCACAUGAACAUAGAAAUUAGUCAUGUCAAUUGAUGUGAUGGAAGUGUCUUGGAAGUGAAAUUGUGACAAAAUACGUUUGUCCUUAUUUGUUAGUCCAUGCUGCUCUUACCUUACCCGGCUGAAUGUUUUACCGUAAAGACCUUGUUGUGCAAGCUACCAACUUGAGUCAUUUGAUUGAACAAUUAAUUAUGUGCAUAAUUGUAAGCCAUUUAAAAUUAGUAUAACUGAAAAUGUCUAGAUCCGGUUCCCUUUGAACCAUUGACAUAUUGUGGGUACUGAUUUCCAAAUAUUAGGAUACUUGAUAUUUAUGAUUUUAAUGAAUUUAGUGAUGGUUUCCACUCUAUAUUUUUUACAGUCUUAUGUGGAUGCUGCUAGUCCUUAUGUGAAUGUUAGCUUUAAUUUAUGCUGGGCAGGUUGAACGAGAUCCCACACCACUAUAUCAUGCUGCAAAAGAAUUGAUCAAUAUGCAACUAGACACAGGCGAGUUUCCGCAGCAAGAACACACUGGAUGCUUCAACUGCUCCUUUUACUACAAUUACGGCAACUAGAGCAAUCUAUUCCCCAUCUGGGCUCUUGGGGAGUUUCGUCGUCGACUGCGCGAGAAGAACUGAAUCCGCUGAACAUGGUCCAACAGAAGACGAGAUUGUGUAAAUCCAACAUCUUGCCUUCCAGAGUUAUGCAGUACGCUGAUUGCUGAAAUAAUAUUUGAGUACGCCUAACAACUCUGGAGAAAAGUCUAGGAAUUUUUAUGUGAUGGAGCUGUGGUAUGUAAUGAUACUCUGGAAAACAAUGUAUGCAGGAACUGUAUUCGUUCAAAUAAUAUCUUAUAUUCCAAUUGGAAUAUCCAAUGGUCUGUCGAAUUUAUAGCAGUUGCCUAUAUAUAUAAGAUGGUCGAUUCAUAUCACUCAAUAAAUCUUCAAGCAGUCACUGUUACUGUAUGAAAGAAUUCAGUGAGCGAGAUGAUUUUGUUCGAGUAUGUCAAGAAUUCAUUGACUGAAUCUGCUUCUUACCAAAAUAUAUUGAGUCUUGCAGAGUUACGCUUCUUUCAAGCUAGGAGUGU